GACUGCGUGCUGCAGAUUUCAGACCAUGGAUUGACCAGAAAGAAAAAAGACAAGAGGAGCAAAGUGACAGCAGUGAGAGCACUGACACCACAAGCAAGUGGAGUGAGCUGAGUGAGUUGUACAGCCAGCGGCUCCACAGUCACCUUUCCCUGGCCCAGAGCCAGCAGUUCCUGAGUGAAGAGGAGCUGAGGGCACGGCAGUACAGCGUCCUCUUCAGGCUCAGAGAGAAAGCGCUCUGGGAGAAGACUCGGGCUGAGCUUGACUGGUUGAGCACUGCAUGAGGAGGAAGAGGGUGUUAUGCAGCUUGGGAUUAAGCCAGAUGCUAGAAGCACAGAUAAAGCACCAAGAGAGGAAGGGAG